rnacentral:rRNA from 1 species
UACGUAGGGCGCAAGCGUUGUCCGGAAUUAUUGGGCGUAAAGAGCUCGUAGGUGGCGUGUCGCGUCUGCCGUGAAAGCCCAUGGCUUAACUGUGGGUCUGCGGUGGAUACGGGCAGGCUGGAGGCUGGUAGGGGCAAGCGGAAUUCCUGGUGUAGCGGUGAAAUGCGCAGAUAUCAGGAGGAACACCGGUGGCGAAGGCGGCUUGCUGGGCCAGUUCUGACGCUGAGGAGCGAAGGCGUGGGGAGCGAACAGG